rnacentral:lncRNA from 1 species
UGUCGUCAGGAUUUAGGGUUCACUGCUGUUGUUGAUUAUCCCAGUGGUAAGCUCAGUCUAGUGACCUAAUAGAUAUGAAACAGCCAUGCCAAUUACCAUGAGCUGAGCAUGGGUGGGUAGAGCAAGGGAAGCAUGCGUAAGUUCGUGUGGACGGUGGGACAGCUGGAGAAGGAUGUGGUAAAGACCACUGGUCCACAUACUGCCGUUGGCAGUUGACAACC